AGCUCCAAUAGCGUAUAUUAAAGUUGUUGCAGUUAAAAAGCUCGUAGUUGGAUUUCUGGUUUGAGCAUCCGGUCGAGUUUAUCUCUGUACUAUGGAUGCUUGAGCCAUAUUUUGUGAGGAUGCCUUUCUGCCAUUGAGUUGGUGGCUGGGUAGACUUGCAUCGUUUACUGUGAAAAAAUUAGAGUGUUUAAAGCAGGCGUUUGCUCAUUUGAAUACAUUAGCAUGGAAUAAUAAGAUACGACCUUGGUCUAUUUUGUUGGUUUGCACACCGAGGUAAUGAUUAAUAGGGACAGUUGGGGGUAUUCAUAUUUCAACGUCAGAGGUGAAAUUCUUGGAUCGUUGAAAGAUGAGCUUAGGCGAAAGCAUUUACCAAGGAUGUUUUCAUUA
rnacentral:rRNA from 1 species